ACUCCUACGGGAGGCAGCAGUGGGGAAUAUUGCACAAUGGGGGAAACCCUGAUGCAGCCAUGCCGCGUGUGUGAAGAAGGCCUUGGGUUGUAAAGCACUUUCAGUAGGGAGGAAGGUAGUGUAGUUAACACCUGCAUUAUUUGUACGUUACCUACAGAAGAAGCACCGGCUAACUCCGUGCCAGCAGCCGCGGUAAUACGGAGGGUGCGAGCGUUAAUCGGAAUUACUGGGCGUAAAGCGCAUGCAGGCGGCCUGUUAAGUCAGAUGUGAAAGCCCGGGGCUUAACCUCGGAAUUGCAUUUGAAACUGGCAGGCUAGAGUCUUGUAGAGGGGGUUAGAAGUUUCAGGUGUAGCGGUGAAAUGCGU
rnacentral:rRNA from 1 species